GUGAGUAUAGCUCAGUUGUAGAGCACAUACUUAGCAUGAGCAAGGUCCUGGGUUCAAUCCCCAGUAUCUCCA
rnacentral:tRNA from 1 species